rnacentral:rRNA from 1 species
GACGAACGCUGGCGGCGUGCUUAACACAUGCAAGUCGAACGGUGAAGCGCUUGCCUUUUUGGUGGGUGUGGAUGAGUGGCGAACGGGUGAGUAACACGUGAGUAACCUGCCCUCUUCUUCUGGAUAACCUCAUGAAAGUGGGGCUAAUACGGGGUAUUCCGGGUCUGUCGCAUGGCGGGUUUGGGAAAGAUUGCGCCUUUGGGUGUUUUCGGUGGGGGAUGGGCUCGCGGCCUAUCAGCUUGUUGGCGGGGUGAUGGCCUACCAAGGCGGUGACGGGUAGCCGGCCUGAGAGGGUGGGCGGCCACACUGGGACUGAGACACGGCCCAGACUCCUGCGGGAGGCAGCAGUGGGGAAUAUUGCACAGUGGGCGCAAGGAUGAUGCAGCGACGCCGCGUGAGGGAUGGAGGCCUGCGGGUUGUGAACCUCUUUCGCCAGUGAAGCAGGCCUGCCUCGUUUGUGGGUGGGUUGACGUUAGCUGGAUAAGAAGCGCCGGCUAACUACGUG